rnacentral:lncRNA from 1 species
AGGUCUUAAUAAUUUUAUUUUUUGCUUCAUAUAAAGAACGGGGUAAUGAAGUACUUUCAGGAAAUGCAUCAGCCAGUGUCUCUAAUAACAUACUAAAUGACUUUCCUGACCAACCAUUUAGGCAUUUCAAGUGGAACAAAUGGAGUAUAAAAGAUAGUUUUUAAAAUGUCUUGCAUUCCAGAUAUAAUUCUUCAUUUGCAUCUUUUAGUAGUUUAUGAAAAUCAUGAUUUCCAUUAGUCUCUUGACUAGAUUGUUCUAUGCGAGGUUCUACUGUAGAUUGUUCUGGGUCCGCCCUUCCGCCAAAUUCUUUAAUUGGUAUAUCUAUUUCAUUAGUUGGUUCACCGGCUAAGCCAAUGGCAUCAUGUAAAAGUCUAUAUAUGUCAUCUGAUCUUCUAAACUUUUGGGUAAUAGGGAUGCACUCUUGCACAUGUAAAACAUAUUGUACAUGCAAAGACUGAGAAGUUGAAGAAGAGGUGGCAAUUUUAAUUAGGGAAAUAAAAGAUAAAGACUCCCUCCAUGGCAAACCCAUCUUAUAUAUUCCCUUAGUAAGCCAUCACAUAUUAAGUGUAUCUUCGCAUCCUCAAAUUUCUGUAAUGAACAAUUAACACAGCGUACAUAGGGGAACAUUAUUUUGCCAUUAUAGGAUACAUUACAAAAUGUAAAUUCUACAAAUUGUGAGACUUCAUUUUUAUAUGCAUCACUAUUUCUAGGUUUGAUCAUCCAACUUUUAUCCAUUAUAGCAAAACACUCCUUAAGAGGUGAUUUUCUAAGCAUUCUUUCAACACGAACUAGUAGAUUCUUUAUCCUCACAGCGAUGCCCCAGCAAGAGUUUGACUAGGUUCGGGCGUGAAAACCUUCUACCAAAUUCACCUAAUUCGCCUUAAACUGCAAUUGGUAAGAAAUUUUUUAUGCUACAUACUAUACCACAUUCAACAACAGAAUUAUGAAUAUAAAUACAAUCAAUGCUCAAAAAACUGCUUAAAGAAAAAAAAAUCUUUGCUGCUGCUUAGUUACUUUAUUUCUAGCUGAGUUACUUUAUAUUGAUAAAGUAGGAACUGCACCUACAAUUAGCUUUAUUGAUUUUAGUAAAGCCUACGAAGUGAACACUAAGUUUAAUACAUAUGCUCAAUCAAAAACAACUCUGCUGCCAAAAUCAAAAGUAUAGUGCUAAUAUGGUCAUUUUCUGUAUCAGAAGCUAUUGAUAAGCUUUCUUAUGGUUGCUCUUCCAACAGUCAUAAUUUUUCUAGCAUUGUUCUUUUAAGCAAUAAGCUUAGCAGCUAUAGUAAGAGGCUUCAACAACACUGAUCAAAAGUAUAAUGCCCAGUAUGGCUCACUUCUUCCUGGCAUACUGUAACUAGGGAGGUUUUAAUGAAUAACGCUUACAUCCUCCAGAAUUCUACUAAAAGAUCCAAAUAAAAAGACAAAUGUACAACAUUGGAGACUAAACAAAAACCUAAAACUGUAUCUAACUUCAGUUGCUCCGGUCUAAAUCGCUUGAAUUUACAAUAAGAUCAAAACAAUAAGAUCUAAAUUAUUUGAAAAUACAACUUCAAUCAACAGACCAGUGCUCCGGAUAAGUUGCAAGGAGAAAAAGUCACUUAACUCUCCAGCCCAGAAAAGAAUGCCUUCACUGCAUAAUCUGCAGAAAAGCAUAACCCACCUUCAAAUGUAAGAAGCACAAUAUAGGGAAAUACAGAACUGCGUAAAGUAUAUUGCGCCACAUGGGUGACUCAAGAUAGUAGUGAAGAUUGAUUAGAUCAAUAAAAAUUGUACUUGUGUUUGUAUUAGCAAAAGAUAUUAGGUAAAUUUACAUCUAUCAGGUCUCACUGGGCAUGCAGUUAACCAUGUGAACGAAAUGAUGAUGUGUAAAAGGGUGGCGCAUAAGAAUGAACAAUGACACGUACCCAAAACAAUAAAAUCUGAUAACUCCUCUCAAAGGGGGAAAACGAGAGUAGUUUUAAAAGUAACUACGGAUGAAAGUAACUAAGCAGCAGAGAUUUUUCUUCUUUUUUUUUUUUUAGGAUAAGCUGCAGGGAAGUGGGGAAGGGCGCACACCGAGCAGGCCAAGUGCCUCGGUGUAACACACUGGACCUUUGCAAAUUAAGAUGUUCGAGUGUUUGGACAGUGUCCUGAGCUUUUCCAGACUUUCUGGUAGGUCGUUGACUGUGUUCCGACCUAUGGUUUGUAUCCCGAGAUUUGCGGUUUAAAGCCUUGCACCAAAACCCGAAAAAAUGGGAUUUGGCCAACUCUCGGGUAGCUAUCUGAAGGUCUUGUACCGGUACAAGUUGGUGGUUGUACCGGUACAAGGUUGAUGGUUGUACCGGUACAGCCACCGGGCUUGUACCGGUACAGAGCCGCUGAACCCCCCAAACCCGAGCUUCGGGUUGAGAUUUUUCGCGGGGCUUGUACUGGUACAAGGGCCUGUGUACCGGUACAAGGGGGCAUUUUUCGUACAGUUUGGACUGCAGGGGUGUUUUUGCUAUUGUAGCAUUUCUACAAAUAACCCCACGCCUCCCCUCUUGUUCCCUGAGCUUGGAGGCAGUGGAGAGAAGGUAUGGGAGCCCUCUAUUCUCUCUCUUUGAUUUUCUUUGGUUUAUUUGGAAUUUUUGUGGUUUAAUCCUCUCUUUUUGCUCCUCUUUGCUUUUUGGUGCUAUUUCCACCAUGGGAGAAGCUUGGGAGCUUGGAGUUGAGUUUGUUGGAGGAGAGAUUUUCAACCCUAGUAGAUUUUGAACCUUGUUUGAGGCUUCAUGAGAGGUUAGUUGCUUACUAUUUCUCUUUUGAUCAUGAUUUUCAUGGUUUUUGUAUAGAAACCCUAGAAAUGAGGACUUAGGGUUUAUUUUGGGCGUUUUGGGCUUUUGGAGCUAGAUUCUUUGAUUUAGAACCUUCCUUGGGCUUGGAUUGGAAGGAUUCUAGCUCUCCUUUGGAGCUUAGGAGAGGAUUUUUACUCUUGAGGUGAGUUUUGGCCCUUUUGCUUUAUGGUUAAUGAUUGAGCUAAUUGCUCUUCAUUUCGUUUGGGUGACCCUAUUUUUUAUGUUUCUAGGGUACUAGGAAGCUAGUGGAUACCUCUGUUCGGCGAAACGAAGGUUUCGAUUUUGGUGGGUUUGGCCUCAUCUAGAUGAGAUAAACUUCUCAUAUGAGGGUUUUUAUUUAUCGUUAAGUGAAAAUGCAUGCAUAUCCUUAUUAGAUAGAAUAUUUGAGAAUUUUAGAAUGCUUAAAAUGCACAUGUUAUAUACAAUGCAUAUUUGACCUCUAUAUAGUAGAGAGUUUUCAUAUUGGGCUAGGGGUCUAUGGUUAGCAUUCUUACAUUUGAUUGACAUCAUGUUACAUAUGGUGCAUAUGGCAUAUAGAUUACACUCUUGGACUUAGAACGCAUGCUUGACAUGGUUGAACAUAUCGACAGUAAGUGACAUAGGCUAGAGUGUAUACAAAUAGUAAGCUAAUAUCAUAAAGCGGCAUUAGGCUUGGACUAGAUAUGGACUCGGCAAGCUAAUGUCAUAAAGCGGCAUUAGACUUGAUGGAUAUGUAAAUUGCAUGUGCAUGUUAUUAUUAUGAGAAUUAUGCCAAGUUGAUAGUUGCAUUGGAAAGAACAUACAUGUAGCAAUACGAGAACAUGCUAGAGAGCAUGUGUAUUAAUCUAUUAUUGAUAGAACAAGCUAACAUCAUAAAGAGACAUAGAAUGUGAAAUGUGCUUAAAUUAUAGCCAUGUUUAAGUGUCAUAAAGAGGCACUAAACAUAGUGAAUGUGGGAACUUCACCUUGAGAUUUGGACUUAGUAAAGCUAAGGUCAUUGACAUCGAAAUUAUUGAACGGUUAAACCUUCACAUUGAGACAAAGUACUAGACCUUUGGGUUGCUAGUGACUGUUACCAUGUUAGAGACAUGAUGAUUGGAUACUUGAGAUGAUGAUCUUGCUUGCUUGCCAUUUGUGCUCAUUCGCACAUGCUUGUACGGGUCGCUCCCUACAAGCCGGCACUCCGGAGUUAGCCUACGCGACAUAUGCUCGCUCGUGCGGUACUGAGAAGCCUACGGGGUCGAGUGGGACAGACACAUUCCAAGGGCAGGAAUGUUGGGCUACCACAGGCACUUAGGCGGCACAAGCCAGACCUCAGCCUGUGUAGGUCCUAAAUGAGGAUUGAACGACUGAUAAUUUUAAUUAAUUUGGGUUGGAUAAAACACUUACUAGGACAGUUUGAUGGUAGGUGUGAUUCUGUUGCAUGCUGAUUGGCCAUUGGAGUUAUAUAGUAUACUUGGGGACGUUUAUCUUUAUUGCAUUGUUAGUUAUACUUUUGGGUUGCCCAUUGGGAUACUAAUACUUAGAUAUGUAGUGUUGGCUCUUGGGACAGUUUAUCGCAUACUGUUGUAUAGUAUUUACUUGAUUGCCAUCCAUAGCAAACUUGUUUAAGUUAUUGGCAUACUGGACAUUGGUAGAGUAGGAUGUACUCCAUGUUUCGACGGCCGAUCCGCCUAUGAUUACUGUGGCAUAGUAGAGUAGCUGUUGUAUUAUUACGAUCGCUUUAUUUUACCGCCAGUUGAAUUUUUUAUGUUAUUCCUGUAUUCCUGCUCGUGCUUUUUGGGCCUUAGGUUGGUUUUCGGGUUUUGAUGCAGCGUGAGUAACGUUUGUCCACUUGGGGAACUAUAAAUCUAUAGUUCUCAUGCCCCCCUGGUGUUUAUGUUUUCUUUCAGAGCCUUCCACUUCGGGAGGGGCUCGGGAUCGCGGGAAAGGUUUCGCCUUAAGCUAGCUAGCGAGGGAUUUGGCGAUAGGUGGUCCACCUCUCUUUUGUUUUUUUUUUUUGGAGAGGUUGUGAGAGUUUUGUACCAUAUUAUAGCGACCACCCUACUGUUGUAUCUUGAGACUUGUGAUGUAUUAGUUUUAUUAUUUUCUAGUGGUUUAGUCUUUUUUUUUCUUUCCUUUUUAUUUUCGCUUGUUGAUAGAACUUAGCUGCAUACUUGCUCUGAUAUCGUUAGUUAUUGUUUAUUUUAUCUUUCAUAUCACUUUGUUGUAGACGCCUUAUAUGUGCAGGCAUAUGGCGGGUCUAGGCACGCACCGGGUAGGGCCUAUGCCGGGACCCGGGGCGUGACACGCGGGGUAGGGGGGCCCAAGCGCGGGGGGGCGAAGCACACCAAGCUGGGGGGGCGCCGGAGCAGACGCGGCCCAAAAGGUGGGGAUAGCAGACCGCGUGCGGCCGCCGGCGGGGGCAAAGCAGACGUGGCCGUCGGGGAGGAGGAGGAGACGCGGCCGUCGGGAGGUGUUGUGUCGGCAGAGGCGUUCUCUAUUUUUUGGGAGAUAUUAGGGUUUUUGGCAGAGUUUGAGGCAUUUUUUUUUUUGGCCGGGGAAACCACUUUCUUUAUAAUCGAUUCUAUAGUGUCAACCGUAGGGGCGUAAAACGGGCCUAACGGCCUGUGGGCUGCCUGUCCCUGCACGACUGCAUGCUGGGCCGUGGCCCUGCACGGCUCCUGUAGCAUCUGUGAAGGGCCAGCCCGACCUAGCUCCAUGGGCCGUGCUAGGCCGAGCUUCUGCAGCCCGUAGGCCCGGCACGGCACGGCCGUUGUCGUGUUUGGGCCGUGCCGAGCUGAAAAGUCUACCCCGAGCUUGCCGUGCCAGCCGGGCCGACACGACACGGUCUAUUUACUUCUAAAGCCUGUAAGCUGUAGCCUAUUACAUAUUAUAAGCCUGGCUAGCAUGCUGCAUGCCCAACUGCCUUUAAGUUUUAGGACUUUUUGACCAAUUCUCAGACAGAGGGCCCAACGGCUCAAUAGCUGUUGGGUUAUCUUUUUUCUUUUUUUCUUCGAAAAAUACUAUUUUUACUAUUAUUUAAACAAAGAUUAAAAAAUAAAGAAAAAUUGAUCAAAAUGACGACAACGCCCUUACUAAAAUUCAAAAAAUUGAUAGUUAGAGAGGGCAUUUUGGUCAAAAAUAAAAAAUAGUUUUAAAAAAUAAUUUAAAAAAAAUUUAAAGAGGGACAGGGAAAAAAGCCUAUUGGCUAUUUCCGGGCUGGCCUGAAGCCCGGCCGGGCCCAUCCUAGAGGGGCCAGGAGCUGGGCCAGACCUUCCCCUCCAAGGAAAUAGGCCGGCACGGCUCAGCCCGCAUUUGUAAGCUGAUCGGGUUGGGCCAACCCUCGGCUCGAAUCGGCUCAGCUAAUGUGGUUCGUGCAUGCCAGCACAGCACGGCCCAGAUUACACCCCUAGUCAACCACUAGAGAUGCAAAUAAGGCGGAUUUGGAGACGAGAGCCCCGCCCUAACUACCAAAUCUCGCCCACGGGUUAAAAAAUAUAUCCCAUAAUCCGCUCCGCCUCAUAAUUCACCUGUCGCCGAUGUCCUGAAUCCGCCAGGUCAACUAUUUUUUUUUUUUUACAAAUUAUAAUAUUAUUAAUAUUUUGUAAAAUAUAAAUUAAUAUAUUUUUUAAUAAUAGUGAACAAUAUUACCAAAUUAUAUAUAUAAUUAACAACAUCAAUUAUAAAAAUAAAAAAUAUCAAUCACAAUCCGAAGCAAAAUUCAAAAAUUUCAAAUUCAUGAGAAAUGAGAGUACUAACUUAUUUGUAUUUUGGACUUUUUGGUAAAUAUUUUAUUUUUUGAGGGGUAUUUUGUUAAAAUAUAAAUGGUUUUCGGGGCGGAUUCGUGGCAGAUUAUGGCAUGGCGGAUUCAAGGCAAAAUUGGAGUAGGUCAAAAUUUUUCUCAUUUCUUGCCCUAAAUCUAUAUCGCAUCAUAAAAAUCACUAUGUUUUUUGCCUCGAACUCGUUUAUUUUUUUUGUUUAUUCCCUCAUUUAGGGCGGAUUGGGGCGAGAGCUCCACCAUCUUGGAUUCAUUUACAUCCCUAACAAUUGCAAGUCUGGAUUAAAAAAAUAAUAUAUAAAGAUAUGUCCAGAACUCGUGCGGUGUGGUGCUAGCAAUUAUAAUUAUAUGAGAAUGAGAAAGAAAAAGAGAGAGAGAGGGGGAGAGGCAGGUCAAAGGGCACGAGCAAGGAAGGCAGAGGAAGUCGGAGGGGAAAGCUCGAGAAAAGAGGACGAGUCAACGGAGUCAUCGGCGAGGUAGGCGAUUUUGAAACCCUAGUUUCAUUAGUAGAUGAACCGGCAAUAAAAACUAAACUGACCUAAUUCUGGUUAAGUGGUUGUCUGAAGGGAUGUGCGGUUAGGAUGAUAGUGGUCUCCUAAGGUUGAAUGGGUGGUUGGUGAAAUAGAAUAAUCUAAGGAGUGAAAAUGGUAAAAGGGGUAGAUCUAAAGGUAGAAAACUUACAUGCAUCGAGUGUUUGGUGUUUUUAAAAAUACCAUAGCCGGACUAUAUUAGAUAUAUAUAUAUAGAGUUGGGUUGGAAUAGUCUUAGGGCGCAUUUGGUUCGAGUUAUGUAAUAUUACAGAAUAUUUCAAUAUAUCCAGGUAUCUUGGAUUUCUAAAUUAGAUUACCACUGAUGCUGCAUUAAUGCAUUUAGUUUAAUACAGUAAUAUAAUACUGGAUUGCACUGUUUAGAGCGUUGCUCAAACAUUAAGCAAUUCAAGCAAAAGUGGAGAAAACUAACCGAAUACGAAGAAACCUCUCUCGAUCUCCAAAUGAGAGGUAGAGUCCUUCAAAUCCAACCUAAACAAAGUUUCUAAACCCAUCAAUUUGGUUCCAAAACCCUCUAAUCAAAAAUCUCCAUUUCUAACCCUAAAUCUCAUUUCUUGGGUUUCAUCUCAAGAAAUCCAUCAAAACAUGCUCCAAAGGGUAGAUUAAGCUUACUAACCUCACAAGAUGUCCCAAACCAAGCUUGGAAUGCACCAAGGUUGAAGAUCCUUCCUCUAUCAAGCUCCAACAAAAGCUUCAAAGCUUCUCCAAUGGUGAACACCCAACAUAGAGCAAGAAGGAGAAGAAGAGAAGGAUCAAAACUAGCUAAAAUCCAUCAAAAAGAGAGAAAAGCUCAAGGGAGGGGUCCUCACCUAGUUCCUCCACGAUUUAGGGCUCAAAAGAGAACUCAAGGGCUGUGGAGGUGUUUAUAGAUAAGCUACAAUUACCAAAACACCCUCGAAAAACCAUCAUUAUGCAGUUAGCCAAAGUGUACCGGUACAAAUCCUGCGAGACAGCAAACGCGAGCCUCGGGUUUGCAAUUCACCACAUCUGUACCGAUACAACCAUCAAGGUGUAACCGGUACACUUUCUGUACCGGUACAACUAUCAACAUGUAGAGGUACAUAUUCCUGCAGAAUAUGAACAAUCCAUUGCUCAUCCGCUAUGUAAUCUAGUCGUUAAUUUAGCAUAACAAAUCGAGUAGGAUUACACCGAAAAUAUUAACGAGAGAGGGAUCGUGUAUCUUGCACUACUGAAAACCGAUAAUACUAUAUAUUAUAUAAAAUAACAAUUUUACCCUCUGACUCUCGAAACCCUUUCAAUAUGUUAUUUUAUAAAAUUUAAUUUAAAAUUUUUAAUUGUCAACUUUAAGUUUUUAAUUUUUAAUUUUCAAUUUAAAAUAUAAAAUUUAAAAUUUAAAAUUUUUAAACUUCAAAUUUUAAAUUUUAAAAUUUAAAUUUAAAUUUAAAUUUAAAUUUUAGAUAUUAAGUUAUAAGUUUGAAAUUUCAAAUUUUAAAUUUCAAAUUUUAAAAUUUAAAUUUUAAAUUUUAAAUUUUAAAAAAUAAAUUUGUAUUUUAAAUUUUGAAUUUUAAAUUAGAUUUUAAUUUAUUAUUUUAUAUAUAUUUAUAUUUAAAUUUUAGAUUUUAAAUUUAAAACUUUUGUAUUUUAUAUUUUAAAUUAAAAUAUUAAAUUUAUAUUGUAGCAUCCCUGGAGUACAACAUUUGAGGCUUGUCGACACGUCGUGAGGGUGUCGGGACACGUGUCGGGACAAGUCCGAGUCGCGUUGGCGCGAAAUAGAUGCAAAACGGACGCAGUGGGGACGCAAGAGCAGAAGUUAACAUUAUGCAAAUUGCAGGUUUCCUGCUUGUUGAACCUGUACAACAUCAGAGGUGUACCGGUACACUUGCUGUACCGGUACAACAUCGGAGGUGUACCGAUACACUUCGCCUGUUUCCGCGCAGCUGCUCUCAGGUUGCCAUUUGUACCGGUACAACUGCUCGUGUACCAGUACACUAGGGUAGGUGUGUCACGCCCCGAAGCCGCUACCAAUUUGGUCCGGUUCGGGCGCGUCGAACAGACGCCGAACGGACAGCACCUCUCCUGUCCGCCCAAGGCCAAACAACCAGAUCAUGUACAGUUAAGCGCCCAGGGAAUGCUUAAAUAACAUACAUGAUCGAUACGAUGCACACAAGUGCACAAUAGCUAAGAGCAAGAACCACGAGUGAAAUACAAGUGUAUAAAGAGAGUACAUCUAGCUAAUACAACCAUUCAACAUUUACAUCAUUUGAAUAUAUUACAUUUCCAUCUUCCAAAUGUAAGUACAUGUUCUCAAAAUACAUCAUGGCUUCCCAAUAUCUAUCCAAAACAUCUAGUACACGAGGGUACUCUAAUGCAUAAGGGAAAGCUACUAACUAGGCUCACUUAGGGCGCUAUGCCCUUGCCGCGAUCCUCGCUCGGCUCGCCUCUGUGUGUACCUGUACCCCAAAACCACACGGGGUGAGAACUAUAUAAAUAUAGUUCCCAGUGGGUUCGGCCGCCGACGCCGCCGGUUUUCCCACUAGGUCUAAGCUGGCACAGAUAGAGAGAUAGAUAGAUAUAUAAAGAUAAACUGCAACUACUCUAUCAUGCCACCAAUGAUAAUAAUGCAUGCAACAACUACUAUCAUGCUAGUAUCAUGUCAUGAGUAUAUAAAGGUGCAUAGUAAUGUAAACUACAACAUACACUAUGUCUACUCAAGGUAAUAAUGCAAGUCUACUAUGCAUUUCAUGUUUAUUACCCAAUCUACUUGGUUGACCCGUAGGUUAACCCUCGACUCACUCUCAAUCUCAUAGGUGAGGAGAAGCUGCACUCGCACACCGAGACCGUCUGCGGGACAACUACGUCUGCCCCUAGUGAAGUACUCCGGAGACUCGUGCUUCGAUGGAGCGACCACCGACAAGCAAAACAGACUAGUGAGUAUGAUCCAAUCCUCUCAAGAGGAUACCCUGUCUACUAGGGUCAAUGUGCCUCUGCUGCACAGUCAUGAUAUAUAAUCAAUGUUGGGACCUCUACUAUCCCUAGGUUCAUGUCAAGUUUACUACAUUAGACUCAAUGCCACUCGUUCGAUCAUUGUAGUAAGUUUUCUACUAAUUGACAUGCCACUCGUUCAAGUUUAGUGUCUCUACUACACUAGUUCAAUGCCACUCUACUAGGCUAUGUCCAAGUUCGGCUCUUUAUGCCGCUAUAGGAUUCUAUGUCAUAAGACCCAAUCCUCAUGCUACUCUAGUCUAGGUGUUCAACUCAUAAGUACACUACUAAGAAGCAUGCAAGGAAAAGGAAAUAUACAUUUAUUAAUCCUAUAAUGCAAUAUGAUCAACAUAUAUGUAACUUAGACAUAAAAAGAAACCCGGAUGUUCCGGAACGACACCCCCCACCUUUCGUGUAUACGGAGGCUCUAGAAAUGUGCUUCGGCGUCCUUUACGACGAAGCCUCGGUCUUCUUGUUCAAAUCGAUGCUCAAUCGGCCUUAUUUUGCCGAUAACUCUUGACCCGCUCGACGAAUCGAAUUUCCGACUUCGCCUCCGCGUUUAGGCACCUAUCAAUUAGGUCUACAAGGUCUCAAAUGAGAUCAAUUCCAUACUUUACCAAAAACCCUAUUUUGGUGCCCUAGGGUUAGCAUCAAGCUAAACCCAUCUCAAAACCCUAGGUUCUAGCUUCAAUCCUACCAUUCAUGGUGCUAGGGAUCCAUUUGAUCCCAUCAAAAGAGCUAAAACCCAAAAACCCCAAAUUUCACAAGCUAGGGUUAGAAGCUUACCUCUAGGUUAGCUUAAAAGAGAGAAGAGAGGAUGAGGGAGAAGUCCAAAAGCUUUCUUUUAUUGAUCUCCUUCUUUUUCUCCUUCCUUUUCUUCCUUCUUUUCCUUCUCCUUUUUUCUUCUUCUUCUUCCUUUUCUUUUCUUCCUAGAGAGAGAGAGCAAGAGAGUGUGAGAGAGAGAGAGAGAACUGAGGGAGAGUGAGUGGGAGAGAGGGACUAAUAAGCCCUCUAAUGUAACAAUAUCCAGCUGGCCCCCUCAACUUUUCACUCUGUGCACAGCCCUCACCGGGCGAUCUGCGCGCGGAGGGACCGGUCUCUCCGACUUGGGACCGGUCCCCGAGAGCUUCAGCUCGGGUCACGCGUUCGGGUACCGGUCUCUCCCAGAGAGACCGGUCCUCAGGAGACCGGUUCCUCCCUAAGAGACCGGUUCCCGAGAACUGGAAUCUCAGGACUUAGCCAAUUUUCGGCUUUCCUCGCUGGGAUCGCGUUCGGAAACCGAUCCCUCCCUACCAGGGACCGGUUGCCUCAAGCAACCCCGCGACACCAGCUGAUGAGACCGGUCCCUUCCUGCCAGGGACCGGUCCCCGAGAGCAAUUUGCUCCAGUGCAAGUUUUGCACUAUUUGCUCUCGUGGACUCAUUUCCAAUGCACCUUUGGUGAUUUUAACAUCUUUGGCCUUUCCAAAGCUUACGAACACGACCCUUGGUCGAUUUUACAUGAAGUCCAACUCUCGUAUUUCGAGAAUUCACUUCCUCACAAGGUGAGAGGGCAUUUUGGUCUUUCCAUACCUCGUACGUGUCACCGUCUCUCCCCAUUUACUAUUACAGGUGUAGGGAGCUGAGAGAGAGAAGGAAUGCUUUUCUUCAUCUCCUCUCUCUCUAGCUUGGAUCGGUCGUGGAUGUGGUCUCGGGUGGAGCUGGAUCGUCGUUGACGUCGCGUCGCGGAGUCAUUCGAGCACGCGAGCUUCGUGGUGACUGUGUUGGGAGGCCGGGCGAGCGUGGAUUUCUGCCGUUCUCGACGUCGUGCCGAUUUCGAGGGGGGCUAAUUGUCGGUUUACCUUCUAAGUAUAUAUAUAUAGUCGACAUGUGCUCGUUGAGUUGUUUUAUAUAUUGCAAAUCGCUCGAUUCAUGGAUUUGGCGUAUUCGUCUAAAAAAUCUAAAUUUGGAACUUAGUAUUAGAUUAUAGUUAUACUUACACAUGUUGGACUUGGAUAUGACUUAGGAGAAAAUGCGAUUAUAAACUGUCAUAAGCUUAUACUACCAGAUUUAGCUUUAGGAGUCGUUGUUAUUUUAUAUCGCCGCAGUAUUAGCGUGGUGAAUACCCCAGGUAGUAUAGAUUGCUGUUACGCUCGUGCUGGGAUGUCGAGCCUAUUUUUACAGUAGUGUUCAGACUAUUCCGGACUGUUGGGUGCCGUCGGGGUUGAUGGUGGACCCAGAUUGCCGUUUUGGCAUCAGAUUGUGCCGAGAGCACAUGACUUGUUGGUAGUUAGACCAGUUAGACCCUAUGUAUUUGAUUAUAGCCUGUGAGAGCCUGAAUGAACUUGGGAGAGACACUUGUAAACUCGUUAGGUCGCGCCCAUGAAUGUCAUUCCGGAAUGAGGUUUCAUUGCGAUGAGGUCACAGUUUCUAUUGGGAUUGUUCUUGAGCCGGCCACCCUCGGAGUGGUGUACGGUGUAGCUAGAUACAGGCAGGGUGGGUCCGUUUGGGCAGCCCGGGUGAGAUCGUAGUGGCGCUUUUUCCUACCAUUCGUGAGCUUGUGAUUUAAGUGGAGUCACAGUCGUCUUGUCGGACUUUUACUUGAACCGGAUACCCUGGGGCAACGGCGUAGUCUAGUUAGGCGAGACGGGUGCGUUCACAGUCUCUAGAAAGUUUUCUCCACCAAUUGCUCUUGAGCCACGGUGUAGCCUAGUUAGGCGAGACGGGUGUAUUCACAGUCUCUAGAGAGUUUUCUCCACCGACUACUUUUGAGCUAUGGUGUCGCCUAGUUAGACGGGACGGGUGUAUUCAGUCCCUAGAGAGUUUUCUCCACCGGCUACUCAUAGGGUAGUUUACUAGUUCGCUUCGACAGGCAGGUCGGGAGUGUUCAGUCCCUGUGAUGGGUAUGCUUACAGCCCCUGGUGAGAUUGGGUCAGGAUUGACAUUUCCUAUAGAUUGUUAGUGUCAGAGUUUGAUAGUAUAGUGAUUUUUAGAUAUAGAUUUGUUCCAGCAUUACUUAUUUUUCCAGCUCCCUUCUGUAGACUUAGUGAGUGGACCGAUGAUGUUGAGGGCGGCACCUACCGAGGACUACUUGUUUUUACAUUAGUUCUCAUGCCCAAUUGUUCCCUUUUAUUUUGCAGAGCCGUCGUCUUUGGCUGCUGCUGCUGCUGCUGCUGCUGAUCAUGAUCGUGGCAAGGGCGUCGCGAGUUAGAGCCCUACCAGACGAGCCAGAGCUAGUAGAGUACCUUCUGCAGGUAGUUAUAUUUUAUUUUUGAGUUCACGUACAUACGGAUGUUAGGCUUGCUUGUGCGAGCACUUUUGUACCUGGAUGCUACGUAUGUAUAUGGAACUUGUUUUUCUAUCUACUUUUAUUCUAGCAGCUCUAUACUACUGGUUGUAGUGUUAUUUGUUUACAGAUUCAGUACAGCUUCGCUUCGUAUAUAGGGAAAAUUCCUUCGUAUACGUCAGGUCUGUUGACGUGCCCGGAAAAAUGUGUAAUUCGGGGCGUGACAUAUAUUUUUGUUAAAAUUUAAAAUUUAAAAUUUUUAAAAUUAAAUUAUUUAAAAUAAAAUUUGGUAAAAAAACAUUGUUUAUAAACAGUAAAAAAAAAUUACGAAAUAUGACUAUGGGCAAUUUUGGAAUAAGCUAAACUUUAUUGUCUAGAUUACUAAAUUUUAUAGACAGAACCAAACAUAGCAACGCUAUAAACAGUGCAAUCCAGUAUUAUAUUACUGUAUUAAACUAAACGCACUAAUGCAGCAUCAGUGAUAAUCUAAUUUAGAAAUCCAAGAUACCGGGAUAUAUUGAAAUAUUUUGUAAUAUUACAAAACUCGAACCAAAUGCGCCCUAAGACUAUUCCAACCCAACUCUGUAAAUAUAUAUCUAAUAUAGUCCGGCUAUGGUAUUUUUGAAAACACCAAACACUCGAUGCAUGUAAGUUUUCUACCUUUAGAUCUACCCCUUUUGCCAUUUUCACUCCUUAGAUUAUUCUAUUUCACCAAUCACCCAUUCAACCUUAGGAGACCACUAUCAUCCUAACCGCACAUCCCUUCAGACAACCACUUAACCAGAAUCAGGUCAGUUUAGUUUUUAUUGCCGGUUCAUCUACCAAUGAAACUAGGGCUUCAAAAUCGCCUACCUCGCCGAUGACUCCGUUGACUCGUCCUCUUUUCUCGAGCUUUCCCCUCCGACUUUCUCUGCCUUCCUUGCUCAUGCCCUUUGGCCUGCCUCUCCCCCUCUCUCUCUUUUUCUUUCUCUCUCUCAUAUAAUUAUAAUUGUUGGCACCACACCACACGAGUCCUCGACAUAUCAUUAUAUAUUAUUUUUUAAUCCAGACUUGCAAUUGUUAGGGAUGUAAAUGAAUCCAAGAUGGUGGGGCUCUCGCCCCAAUCCGCCCUAAAUGAGGGAAUAAACAAAAAAAAAUAAACGGGUUCGAGGCAGAAAACAUAGUGAUUUUUAUGAUUCGAGAUAGAUUUAGGGCAAGAAAUGAGAAAAAUUUUGACCUGCUCCAAAUUUGCCUUGAAUCCGCCCUGCCAUAAUCUGCCACGAAUCCGCCCCGAAAACCAUUUAUAUUUUAACAAAAUACCCCUCAAAAAAUAAAAUAUUUACCAAAAAGUCCAAAAUACAAAUAAGUUAGUACUCUCAUUUCUCAUGAAUUUGAAACUUUUGAAUUUUGCUUCGGAUUGUGAUUUAUAUUUUUUAUUUUUAUAAUUGAUGUUGUUAAUUAUAUAUAUAAUUUGGUAACAUUGUUCACUAUUACUAAAAAAUAUAUUAAUUUAUAUUUUAGAAAAUAUUAAUAAUAUUAUAAUUUGUAAAAAAAAAAAUAGUUGACCUGGCGGAUUCAGGGCAUCGGCGACAGGUGAAUUAGGAGGCGGGGCGGAUUAUGAGAUAUAUUUUUUAACCCGUGGGCGGGAUUUGUUAGUCUGGGCGAGGCUCUCGUCUCCAAAUCCGCCUUAUUUGCAUCUCUAGUGGUUGAUUAGGGGUGUAAUGUGGGCCGUGCCGUGCUGGCAUGCACGGCCCACAUUAGCUGGGCCGAUUCGAACCGAGAGUUGGCCCGGCCCGACCAGCUUACAAAUGCGGGCUAAGCCGUGCCGACCUGUUUCCUUGGAGAGGAAGGUCUGGCCCAGCCCCUGGCCCCUCUAGGAUGGGCCGGGCCGGGCUUCAGGCCAGCCCGGUAAUAGCCAAUAGGUUUUUUUCCCUGUCCCUUUUUCUAAUUUUUUUAAAUUAUUUUUUUAAACUAUUUUUUUAUUUUUGACCAAAAUGCCCUCUCUAACUAUCAAUUUUUUGAAUUUUAGUAAGGGCAUUGUCAUCAUUUUGAUCAAUUUUUCUUUAUUUUUUAACCUUUUUUUUAAAUAAUAGUAAAAAUAGUAUUUUUUUCGAAGAAAAAAAGAAAAAAAAUGACCCAACAGCUAUUGAGCCGUUGGGCCCUCUGUCUGAGAAUUGGUCAAAAAGUCCUAAAGCUUAAAGGCAGUUGGGCAUGCAGCAUGUUAGCCAGGCCUAUAAUAUGUAAUAGGCUACAGCUUACAGGCUUUAGAAGUAAAUAGACCGUGUCGUGUCAGCCCGGCUGGCACGGCAGGCUGGGGGUCGACCUUCCGGCUCGGCACGGCCCAGACACGACAACGGUCGUGCCGUGCCGGGCCUACGGGCUGUAGAAGCUCGGCCUAGCACGGCCCAUAGAGCUAGGCCGAGCUGGCCUGGCACAGAUGCUACAGGAGCCGUGCUGGGCCACGACCCAGCCUGCAGUCGUGCCGGGACAGGCAGCCCACAGGCCGCUAGGCCCGUUUUACGCCCCUACGGUUGACACUAUAGAAUCGAUUAUAAAGAAAGUGGUUUCCCCGGCCAAAAAAAAAAAAGCCUCUAACUCUGCCAAAAACCCUAAUAUCUCCCAAAAAAUAGAGAACGCCUUUGCCGACACAACACCUCCCGACGGCCGCGUCUUAUCCUCCUCCCCGGCGGCCACAUCUGCUUUGCCCCCGCCGGCGGCCGCACGCGGUCUGCUAUCCCCAUCUUUUGGGCCGCGUCUGCUCCGGCGCCCCCCCCUGCUUGGUGUGUUUUUCGCCCUCCCGCGCUUAGGCCCCCCCACCCCGUGGCAGUUGGCCCGCUCGGUGUGCGCCCUUCCCCACUUCCCUGCAGCUUAUCUUUAAAAAAAAAAAAAGAAAAAUCUCUGCUGCUUAGUUACUUUCAUCCGUAGUUACUUUUAAAACUACUCUCAUGUUCGUUCUUAUGCGACACUCUUUUACACAUCAUCAUUUCGUUCACAUGGUUAACUGCAUGCCCGGUGAGACCUAAUAGAUGUAAAUGUACCUAAUAUCUUUUGCUAAUACAAACACAAAUACAAUUUUUAUUGAUCUAAUCAAUCUUCACUACUAUCUUGAGUCACCCAUGUGGCGCAAUAUACUUUACGCAGUUCUGUAUUUCCCUAUAUUGUGCUUCUUACAUUUGAAAGUGGGUUAUGCUUUUCUGCAGAUUAUGCCCUGAAGGCAUUCUUUUUUGGGCUGGAGAGUUAAGUGACUUUUUCUCCUUGCAACUCAUCCGGAGCACUGGUAUGUUGAUUGAAGUUGUAUUUUCAAAUAAUUUAGAUCUUAUUGUUUUGAUCUUAUUAUAAAUUCAACCGAUUUAGACCGGAGCAAUUGAAGUUAGAUACAGUUUUGGGUUUUUGUUUAGUCUCGAAUGUUGUACAUUUGUCUUUUUAUUUGGAUCUUUUAGUAGAAUUCUGGAGGAUGCAAGCGUUAUUCAUUAAAGCCUCCCUAGUUACAGUAUGCCAGGAAGAAGUGAGCCAUACUGGGCAUUAUACUUUUGAUCAGUGUUGUUGAAGCCUCUUACUAUAGCUGCUAAGCUUAUUGUUUAAAACAACAAUGCUAGAAAAAUUAUGACUGUUGGAAGAGCAAACAUAAGAAAGCUUAUCAAUAGCUUCUGAUACAGAAAAUGACUAUAUUGGCACUAUACUUUUGAUUUUGGCAGUAGAGUUGUUUUUGAUUGAGCAUAUGCAUUAAACUUAGUGUUCACUUCGUAGGCUUUACUGAAAUCAAUAAAGCUAAUUGUAGGUGCAGUUCCUACCUUAUUAAUAUAAAGUAACUCAACUAGAAAUAAAGUAACUAAACAGCAGCAGAGAUUUUUUUUUUUUAAGCAGUUUUUUGAGCAUUGAUUGUAUUUACAUUUUGUAAUGUAUCCUAUAAUGACAAAAUAAUGUUCCCCUAUGUACGCUGUGUUAAUUGUUCAUUACAGAAAUUUGAGGAUGCGAAGAUAUACUUAAUAUGUGAUGGCUUACUAAGGGAAUAUAUAAGAUGGGUUUGUCAUGGAGGGGAGCCUUUAUCUCACCUCUUCUUCAACUUCUUAGUCUUUGCAUGUACAAUAUGUUUUACAUGUGCGAAAGUGCAUCCCUAUUACCCAAAAGUUUAGAAGAUCAGAUGACAUAUAUAGACUUCUAAAGGAUGCCAUUGGCUUAGCCGGUGAAUCAACUCAUGAAAUAAAUAUACCAAUUAAAGAAUUUGGCGGAAGGGCGGACCCAGAACAAUCUACAGUAGAACCUCGCAUAGAAUAAUCUAGUCAAGAGACUAAUGAAAAUCGUGAUUUUCAUAAACUACUAAAAGAUGCAAAUGAAGAAUUAUAUCUGGAAUGCAAGACAUUUUAAAAACUAUCUUUUAUACCCUAUUUGUUCCACUUGAAAUGCCUAAAUAGUUGGUCAGGAAAGUCAUUUAGUACGUUAUUAGAGACACUGGCUGAUGCAUUUUCUGAAGGUACUUCAUUACCCCGUUCUUUAUAUGAAGCAAAAAAAUAAAAUUAUUAAGACCUUAGGUCUAUAGGUUAUGAGAAGAUUCAUUGUUGUCUAAAUGAUUGCAUAUUAUUUCGAGAUGAUAAAGUAAAUUAGAAAGUUCGUGGUGUUUGUGGGUCCUCUCGUUGGAAAAUACUAGUAUAGAAAAAGAUCAUAUUUCAAACAAUGAAGAUAAUGCUUCUAACACACCUGUCAUAUCAAGACAAAAGAGGAAGAUUUCAGUAAAAGUUUUACGUUAUUUUCCUCUUAUAUCAAGGCUGCAAAGGAUUUGUUGUCUCUACGAGAACUUCGAAUGAUAUGAGAUAGCACAUCAAAUGAUACAAGAACAUCGUAAGAAGGAUGCGCUAUUAAGAGAUCCUGCAAAUGGUGAAGCAAGGAAGGCAUUUGAUGAACGAUAUGUAGAUUUCUCCUUUGAUUCCCGCAACGUGAGACUUGCUCUUUGUAGUGAUGGUUUCAAUCCAUUUAGAACAAUGAGUACUACUUAUCGUGUAUGGCCAAUUGUAUUGGUUACAUAUAAUUUACCUGUGACACCCAAUAGUCCCACAUCGAAUGGAAAUGAGGUUGUCAUUGGAUUUAUAAGAAACUUAGACAGUAGUAAUAAUAACUGGGCUGAAGCAUUUUGGGUCGGUGGUUGGGCCCAACGAGUUAUUAUUGCUAGUGGGCUGGGUUGUUACAUUUGGUAUCAGAGCCGGUUCACCAGCUGGACGUGUGUGGUGAGUCUCGGCUGAGCCAUGGUCUGGAUGACGGGUUAGCGAGACGAGUCUCACAUCGCCUGGUGAUCUUGGACUGUGUGUGUGAUUGGACUGACGAGGACGUCAGGGCCUUAACAGGGAAAGUUUGUGACACACCAAUUUCUUUUUUACAUAUCAUAUUGAGUUUUAAAUGUGUUUUGUAUGAAUUCUUCAGCUGGUUUAUAAAAAAAUUAUCCUCGCUCGAUUUGUUUCCCUUUUUUCCUCUCUCUUAAUCUUUUUCCCGGGGUUUUGAUUAAUUUCAAUGGGUCAAUUGCCUCAUUGGCUUUGCUGCCUAACUCAUAAUAUUUGAUGACCGGGGGAGUCUGAGCAGAGUAUAUAUAUUUGUUUCCAUGUCCAUUCAUGUAUGCGGUUUGGUAUGAUUUUCACGAGCUGACUUAGGAGUUCUUUGUCUUUGUUAGGAGCAUUGAUUUAAUACUUCAACCAUUGGUUUUAUGCUUCAAUUUUUAAUUCCAAUCGUUUAUUGGACCCCUUCAUAUAUGCUGUUACAUACAAUUUUUCACAUGAUUUGUGCUGGAGAUUUCAUGAAGGAGAGGAACUCUUGGAUGGUUUUACUUUAGCAAAAAUUCAGGUUACUUGAAAUGUAAUUGGUGCAUUUUAGUUAUUUAAGCUGAAAUUUCAUCAUGUUGAUGGAAUGGUGAAAUUAACUCUAUUUCCACCAAUCCCUUAUUUGAAGUUGUGAUUUCUUUAAUUCUUUUUCUGUUUUUGGAGCUGAAAGCUUAAGAAAUUUCACUACAGGCCGCAAGGUUGAUUGAUCUUUAGUUUAGUAAAAUUUCAAAUUUUUUUUCGUCAAUUUCACUAUUGAUGCAGCUUUGUAUUGGAGUAGUUUACCUCCUGUGCUGAUUUUGGGGGCACUGAAUUCUUGCUAGAUUGGAGGCUGAGGAGACGUGUGUUUGUUAUCGAUUCAGCACUAUAGUUGGGUUAGCACUUGAGGUGGGUUUAAUUAAUCAAAUUUGAUGGAAUUCCCACUGUGUACUAAAUUCCUGCAUACAUGCUAUCCACUUAUUCAAAUACAUGCUUAUAAUCAAUCAACUCAACCAUAUUGGCAUAGCUUCAUGUUAGAUAUUUUGUAUAUCGAAAACUUUUAGUGAUGAUAACCUUUUUUCGAUGAUGUCAGUUCAAAUCGACUCAAAUUUAUGCAUUGAUUUGUCGGAGCUGUGUUUUUUGACUAGCUUUUGUAUCCAUUUAUUUGGGGAAGGGGGGCGGGGGGUGUCUUGCAAAUACUUAGUUAUUUGACAUCAUGCUUUUGAGGCUAGAAAAAACUCUUGCCUAUUGCCUUUCCUUCAGCAUGAUUUGCCAAAAAAAAGAAAUUCCUGGAAUCCGCAAGUACCUUUUUUGUUCCUGUUUGUUUUCCAAAAAAGAUAACAAUCAUGUUUUCUACAUUUUCUUGCUGGCUGUAGGUUCUUUGUUGCUCUUUGUAGAUGUGUUCUGUGUGGUUUAUAAUAAUGCUUUGUCAUUUCUAGGGUACUUUGGCUUCACCUAUUUUUGUGCAUGCUAUGAUGACUGCCUCUUGAUUUGUCAUUUCUUGGGUACUUUGCCAGCGCCUCUUUUUGUGCAUGCUAUGAUGACUACCUCUUGAAUACCAUCAGAACCACGGCUUUGCUACAUUGUUUUUUUACUAAUAUUACUUGGUUUUAUUUAUUUCUUGCUGUUUUUUUCUAAUUUUCUUGCUCUUCUUCAAGGCUGUGAUGAUAAAUAGAGGAAAGUGUGGAAAAUAUUGUCUUCGAAUGAGUGGAAGUUUGGAUGGCCUACUCAUAGGCAACUGCUUCCUACUAUUGUUAUUCUUAUGAUUGCACACAUUUCCCUCCAAUGGUAAUCUACUGCUCAGCAACCAUUUCCUACUGUUCUUAUCCUUUGUCAUUGUGCAACUUUUCUUUCUACAAUAAUCUGUUUGUUCUGUUUUCUAUUUGUUCUUUGUUGAAUUCAAAUUGAAGCCGAAUUUCGUACAAAUUAGAGUCACUUUUCGCAUGCUUUUGCCGCAAACUUCUGGGUCAUAUUAGCACGUUUCUGGAUGCCGCCGACAGCAGCAAGGGCUGCUGCCAGCAGCAGCAAAGGCCGCUGCAAUGACAGCCUGCAAUACCAGGGACUACUGCCGCUGCAGCAAGCGGCAGCAGGGGUUGCUGCUGCUGCUGCUAUUGCGGCCAGCAACAGCAGAGUCUGCUGCUAUGGUUGUUGCCUCAGAUAGUGACAGCAGCAGGCGCUGCAGCAGAUGCAAUAGUUGACGCAGUAGCCGGAGUGGGCACAUUGUUCAACGAGUGGUUCCGCUGAAGUCACAGCAGUAGUGGCUCAAAUUUGGGCUCCAAUUGCGUCCAAAUUCACCUCAUUUUGAAAUGGAAGUUGAUCCAAGAAUGAGGAUGACAAUGAGCUUCAAGUUGCACUUUGUUCCAUUUGAAAUUAAGAUGAAUUGGUAGACAAGUGAGUUAAUUAUUGAAGAGAGUGGGAAAUUCAGAUUUUGAUGGAUAUUUUCUAACGAUGAAUUGGUAGGCAAGUGAGUUAAUUAUUGAAGAGAGUGUGAAAUUCAUAUUUUGAUGGAUAUUUUCUAAUGUCUUCAUCUAUUUUUUCCCUAAUUGAGUUGUAGGCAUAAAAUUGAUUUCAUUUUGGUGCUCAACUGAGGAAGAGAAGCCUGUGGACUGUUUGCAGCUGCAUUGGUUCUAUUUUUUUGUAUCAAGAUCUUUCGAAUGCAUAUAUUAUCGCUGCUGAUUUAUAAAUUUGUUUUCUUUUUCCUGGCAAUUUUUUUUUUGUGUGAGUACCUCAAAAAGGUGCAGGUUUAUCUAUGCUUUUAUGCAAUUUUCGUCUUCAGGUUUAUGCUCUUUUCUUAUUUUGUUAUGUCUUUAUGAGAUAAAGUAAGACCCAUUUUUAAAUCCAACUUUCUACCUAAUCUUACAUGUCGUGCUAGGGUUGGUAACCGAUGUAUUAUAAAAAGACCUUGAAUUUUUUUCCUGCAGUGUUAAGUUUCAUUCUAUUUCCCGCACCAGUUUCUUUUUUGCAUAUCUUAUUGAGUUUUGUAUGUAGUUUGUAUGAAUUCUUGAUUUGUUUCACUCAUUUUUUUUCCUCUCUUAAUCUUUUUUCUGGGGUUUUGAUUAAUUUAGUCCAGUUGGGGAUUUGGGAGCUCUACUCAUUACUUUCUUUGGUUCAGCAUUAACCUAUGGAGGUUAAAAAAUAUGUGUUUUUAGCUGGAUUGGUCUUUUUUUCCUUUUUAAAUGCACAUUUUCUUGAUGUAAGUACCUAAAAAAUUUGCAGGCUUAUAUACACUUUUGUUCAAUUUUCGUUUUCAGAUUUCUGCAUUUUCUUAUUUUGCUAUGUCUCUAUGAGAUGAACUAAAACUCAUUUUGGAAUCCAAAUUUCCUCCUAGCCUUACAUGCUGUUCUAGGAUUAGUAAUGUAUUAGAGAAAGGACUUGAAUUUUGCUAAUAUUAAUUGGUUUCAUUUGUUUUGCUGUUUUCCUCGAUUUUCUUGUUCUUCUUUUGGGCUAUGAUGAUCAAAAGCACAUGAGGAUUUUAAAUUUUCCUAUUCUACUAUAUAAUUUUAAGUGUGCACAUGUGGUGCCUUCCUGCUGAUUCAGAAUUUGCCAGCAGCUCUCUUUGUACAUUCUUUAUUUUCAUGAGGUGUGGAUUGUGGGAUUGGAUCGCUUGAUAUUUAAUUGGUGGCCAAAUAUGACCGUGGAGCAUUUUAUUUCUAUUCAGUGUUUGGUUGUACUAGAGUUUUCUAUUUCUAUUUUUGUUUGUCAUUAACUGGAGUAACUUUGUAUGGCCUCCACUACUUCUAUACAUCGUUAUUUUACUAAUAUUACUUGGUUUCCUUCUGUAACACACUGGACCUUUGCAAAUUGCGAGGUUCGAGUGUUUGGUUGUGUUUCGAGCUUUUCCACACUUGGUGGAGGGUUGUAAAAUGUUCCCCGACCCGAAAAGUUCGAAAACUGGAACUUUGGACAAGUCCUGAGAGUUUUUACUCUCGGGGACCGGUCCCUGGAGGGAGAGACCGGUCCCCCCAGUGAGUAGUGUUGAGGCAGCCUGAGGCAACCGGUCCCUGGCAGGCGAGACCGGUUCCCGAACGCGUCUUCGCAGUGAGAGACCGGUCCCGCGCAGGGAGAGACCGGUUCCCGAACGCUGGUUUUUCGGGUUCGCAGCGAGAGACCGGUCCCUGCUGGGGAGAGACCGGUCCCUCUGGGCGAAAACUGCCCAGUUCGGGCUGAUGCAAUUUUGGAUUUUUGAGGGGCCUCACUGGAUUUUGUUACAUUAGAUGGGCUUAUUAGCCAUUUCCCCCUCUUCCCUCUCUCAUUCUCUCAUUCUCACCCUCUCCCUACAUUUUCUAGAGAGAGAAGAAGAAGAAGAAGGAGGAGAAGAAGAAGAGGAGCUAGCUUGAGGGAGCUUGGAGCUCAACCCCUUUCUCUCUUUCCCACCUUUGCAAGGCUUGGAGCUUGCUUGUAGAGCUUAGUGGUGGACCAAACUUCAACCCUAGGGCAUUUUGGGCUUGGAUUGAAGCUUCCAAAGGGUUAGUAUCAUGUUUCCCUCCUCUAGAUUCUUGUUUUUGUGAUUUUUGGGAGAUGAAACCCUAGAAAUGAGAUUUAGGGUUUGAUUUUGGGCUUUUUGAAUCUAGGGCUUUUGGGGUUAAAUUGAUUGGUUUAGAACCUUCCUUAGGCUUGGAUUGGAAGGGUUCUAGCUCUCUUUCGGAGCUUUGGGAGAGAUUUCUACUCUUGAGGUAAAUGUUGACCCUUUUUGCUUCUAGGUUAAUGUGUGAUCUUACGGUUGGUCGUAAUACUCUCGUAUCUCUUCGCUGAUCACUUUUAGGGUAUUUUGAGACUCGGGGACAACUUUGUUCGGCGAAUCGAGACCCUACGCGACGGUUCGGUGGGUUUGACCUAGCCUAUGAUAUGAAAAAUGCUCAUAUUUGGCAAAUAUGUUUCGUAAAAUAGAAAUUCAUGCAUUUCCAUGUUAAAUGUAUUUAAUAUGAAUUUUAGAAUGCUUAACAUGCAUAGGUUAUGUGUAGUAAAUUUUGGGACCUCUAUAUAGUAGAGAGCAUGUAUGUGUGGCCUAGCAUUCUAGAUGAGACUUGAAAUUACAAUCCCUAUUAUGAAAACGAACCUUGCUUUCAUGCAUUCAAACUAUAUACCAGUUAUGACAUUAGGGAUUUUUGGAAGCCUAGAGAGGCUUAGAGACUUAGAGGAUAUGUGAGAUUGGGCCAAUGUCAUGAAGAGGCAUUGGGGCCCGGGGCAUAGUGAGCAUUAAUGUUAAUGUCCUAUUUGGAACAUGAUUAGUUGUGGAGCUUAAGUGUCAUAAAGAGGCACUAAGCAAGUGUGUGUUGGGACCUCACAUUAUGACUUUGAACUAGAUCUUCGGGAUACUAGUGACCAUACCAUGUUAGAGACAUGAGGAUUGAGUACUUGAGACUUUGACCUUGCUUGUUUGCCAUUUGUGCUCAUUCGCACAUGCUUGUGAGGGUCGCUCCCUACAAGCCGGCACUCCGGAGUUGGCCUAUGCGACUUUUGUUCGCUCGUGCGGUAUUGAGAAGCCUACGGGGUCGAGUGGGACAGACACAUUCCAAGAGUAGGAAUGUCGGGCUACCACAGGCACUUAGGCGGCACAAGCUGGACUACCUUGGGUAGGUCCUUAAUUGGAAAUGGAAAUCGACACGGUUUGAGAGUGAAUGAUCACUACUAGAUAGACUUAGUAGUUGGAUUACGUUUACAUGCUUUUAGCAUAGUGUGAGACAUGUAGUAUACUUGGUUGCCAUGAUAGAACACCUACAUCAUGUAUUGACAAAGGUUAACAACAUUAAACUAGUGCCAAUUGGACUUAAUUGUAAGGAUAGAAUAGAUGUACAUUUUGGUUGACAUCAUGUUUACUUGAGACACAGUAGACUAGCAUUCCAAUUGUGCUUUCUUUCAGCAGUUUAUUUACAUGCUCCUUAUUGCUUAUCAUUAUUAUUAUCGUUGCUUACCCUUAUUUUUGGGGCCUAGUGGAGCAUGAGCUGAGGUCAGUAAUUGCCCACUGGGAACUAUAAAUUAUAGUUCUCACGCCCUCUUUUUCUCGAUGUUUUUCAGAGCCUUCCACGCAGGGAGAGGCCAGGGAUCGCGGAAAGGGUAUCGCCUCGGGCUAGCGUGCUUACCGAGGGAUCGUUCGAUAGGUGGUCUACCUCUCGUGUUAUCUUUUUGUGAGAGGUUGAGAGUUGUACCCGUAUAUGUAUAGAGACCACCAUUUUUGUACUAGAGACAGAUAUUGUACUACUUAUGAUUUCCUUUAUUGUCUAUCCUUAUCUCCUUACUUUGGUGUAGAUGCUAGAACUAUAUUUGCUCUGAUAUCAUUAGUUGCUGGUUAUUUCACUUCUUUUAUUUGUUCUAUUUCUUGCUUUUCUUCCGCUUUUAUUGUAGACGCCUUAUAUGUGUAGACAUAUGGCGGGUCUGGGCACGCUACCAGGAGGGCCUCCGCCGGUCCCGGGGCGUGACACCUUCAUUCCUUGGUGUUUCUUUCUAUUUGCUGGCUCCUUUUUGAGGUGGUGAUGAUGAGUUGAGGCAAAUGUGGGGAUUGCUUUUUCUGAACAAGUUCCUUAAUUUCUUGGUGUUUUUUUCUAUUUGCUGGUCCUUUUUUGUGGCGCCGAUGAUAACUUGAGGAAAAUGUGGGAAUUUUUUUGCUUCGAACAAGUUGAAGUUUGGAUGGCCAGGUCAUAGGCAACCACUUCCGACUGUUCUUAGCUUUGGUUGUUGCGCGUUUCUUAUCCUUCAUGGUUGCCCACAUUUCCUCCAGCGAUAAUCUAUCAGUGCUUCUAUCCUGUGCUUAUAAACAAUGUUGUCGAACCAACUUGACUGAGCCUUACAUUUUUCUCUUUUUUUUUAACUUAUUAAAUUUUUUUCCCUGUUUUCCCCUUACCUUUUUUUCUAGGUCAUUAUAUUAGAAUUUAUAUCGCUGUUGGGUUUGGUUCUUGCUUAUUGAUUUUUAAAAUAAAAUUUAUGUGAUUUAGAAUAACCAAAUAUAUUUGUAAUUAAUAGUAAUUUUGUUAAUGGAUUUCCGUGGCAAUGAUGAUAGAUGAAAGAAAUUUGGCUUAAGCUGUCCUCUUGGCCCGUAGGAGUGCACACUCCUAAUUAAAUACACCUUUCGUCUGAGCCUUGAUUUAUUUUCUCCCGCAAUUUAUGAUUUGCUUAUAUUUUUAAAGCAAAAAAAACCCAAGCAUCAUAGAUUUAUUUAGGCUUUUCUCUUUUUUUUUUUUUUUGGUUUUCCUCUAGAGUGAGACUACUUUAUACUCUUUUUGGUUUAACUUUAUAUGAAUUCGCAUUCUGAAUUGUAGAUUCUAAGUUCUAAUUUUUGCAAUAAAUGAAUUUUGAAUUCUUAAAACUGUGUUUGUGUGAGAGAUUCUAAUGUGAAUAGCCUUUUUUCCACAUCAUACACAAACAUCUUUUCAUCAAGUUCAGAGCUAUAGUGGCGUGUAGCCUAUCAAUGACCAUCCGUCUAAUUCCUUACCCUCGGCAACUCAGUUAUCAUCAGAUUUAGUCGAAACCUGAAAAUGGAAAUAAACCAGUUAGGGGAAUUUGAGCAAAGUAUAUUUAUUUUCCCUAUAUUCUUCAUGGAAUACGAAUUAUCUAGCUAAAUUUCGGAUUGCCUAGCUGAACUCUGAAUUAUCUAUCUAAAUUCUGGAUUGAAUAUCAGAAUUCAGAAUUCAAAAUUGCAUCGAAUUAUUCAAUGAAUAUAAAAGUUUAGAAUUCAGAAUUCUGAUCUGAUUUGCAUUAAGAUAUUUGAUACAUAUAAAAGGAUAGUAUUCAAAAUAUAGAAAAAAAAGUAUAAUUCAGCAGAAUUUCAUAUAAAAAUCUAAUAUUUAAAAUUUGAAAACUGAAAUUUAUAAUUUAAAAUAUAAACUUUUAAAUUUUAUUUUUAGUAAUUAAGAUAAAUAUAGGAACUUUUACAAUUUUAAGUUUUAAACUUUAACUUUCAAAUUUCAAUAUUUUAAAUAUUAAAUUAUAAAUUGAAUUUGAAAAAUUCAAAUAUUAAAUUUCAACUUCAUAUGUUAAAAUUUAAAUUUUAAACUUCAACAUUUUAAAUUUUAAAUUUAAAUUUAAAUUUUAGAUAAAUAAAAAAUUUUGAACUUUAAAUAUUUAAUUAUUCAUUUCUUUUUUGAUUAAAUUUUAUAAUCAACUUUAGUAAUGCAUAUAAUAAAUCGCGCUUCAAACUUCAAUUUUUUUAUCCCUCUCUAUUUAAAUAAUUUUCUUAAUUUUUCUCUCUUCAAGUUUUUAAAGUUUAAAAUUUAAAAUUAAAUUUGAAAUUUAAAAAAUUAAAAAAUUUUGUUCAAAAUAUUUUAAAAAUUGCGUAAAUUUUUCGCCGCGAAGCGUGGGCCUUCACUUCACUAGUAAGGGGUUAAUUCCCCCUAGUUCCCCAAACAACGAAUGGGCUAAGGUGAGAACAGCUACCCGCAAAGGUGGGAACAGCUGUUCCCACCCGAGGGUGGAACUAGGCUAAUUCCCACCCUGCGACCGAUGUUCCCCUCUCUCUCCGAUUUUUUCGAUCCCCUUUUCUCUCCCUCUUUCGUCUUCCUCUUUCCUCCGGUUUACUGUGCGGCUUCGUUCGGCGAUCUCCGUCCCUUCUUCGACAGAUCUGGUGCCGCCGGAGCUCGGACGGCUACCUUAUCUUCCCCCUUGGCGCCAUCUGUCUCUCCGAAGCCGUUGAUCCCCUUUACGCUUCCUCUUUUCUCCGAUUUACUGUGCGGCUUCGAUCGGCGAUCUCCGCCCCUUCUUCGACAGAUUGUAAUAUACCGGACGAUUCGUAGCCGCCAAAUGAUGAAAUUGCUCUGAUGGCUUGGUCGGCGAUGAGGAUGAUGGUGGUUUCCGGCAGCGGCUUCGAUGUAACCGAGGUAAGAAAAAGGUAAGAGAUAGAGAUAGGAGAUAGAAAAAUGGGGUAGAGAGACAGAGAUAGAGGAUUGAGAUAGAGAUUAAAGAUAGAGAAAGAGUAGAAUUGGGAUAGAGAAAUAGUAGAGAGGAAGAAAGGGUUUGGAGAAAAACUUUUGGGGGAGAAAUAGACUAAUUCAUUUUCAUUCAUCGAUGCCUUGCAAUUACAUCCUGCUAACUAUAUAUAGCCUAUACAACUUGUACUGAAAUGUAAUUAAACUAUUUUAUGAGAUGAAACAGCAAAAGAGUAAGUUUGGAGCAUGGGCCUGAUGGGCCGCCAUUCUCUGGUGGACGGGCCCUCCGUUGGGCUUGAUCGGUCCAAGAGUAUUUGUAACCGGUUCAAGUGGGUAUCGGGUGGCCCCUCUCCGCACUACCCGCAACCCUGCGGGUCUUGGGUUCGCUAUUGCGCCCCGAUUCGAGCUCCCGGUUCGCCCAACCCAUACGUAACGGUAAGUGGGCGUCGGAUCUUGCCUUCUCCGCAUCAUCCGCAACCCGGUGGGGCUUGGAUCCGCGUUUUUCCUCCGCUCCGAGGUCCUUAAGCUUCGAUACGCCAGUCUUCUUCUUCGCCCCAACUCCAGGGAUUCCGUCGGACCUUCCAGCGCCCUCUCCGAGCUUUGAGGAUGCCCUAGCUCCGUCGUCCCACCAGAGCUCCGCCCGGACCACCUCUCGCCAGACUGCUCCGUCAAGCUCGCCUGAGCCCCUUCGAAGACGCUUCUCGUCAGACCCACCUGCCGCACCUUCUCCUCCCCAUCUGCUGCUGCCACUUAUUCUCCUCCUAGCUAGUAAAGCUGCUACCUUUACUCCUCUUAUACAGCUAACUACCAAUACUUGUUAUCUUCCAGGUUGUUACACAGAUCUGGUGCCACCGGAGCUCGGACUGCUACCUCUUCUUCCUCCUCGGCGCCAUCUGUCUCUCCGAAGCCGUUGAUCCCCUUUCCGCUUCCUCUUUUCUCCGGUUCACUGUGCGGCUUUGAUCGGCGAUCUCCGUCCCUUCUUCGACAUAUCUGGUGCCACCGGAGCUCGGACGGCUACCUCAUCUGACUCCUCGGCACCGUCUGACUCUCCGAAGCCGUUGAUCCCCUUUCCUAGCCCUCUUCCCUCCGCGAUUUACUGUGCGUCGCCGAUCGGGAACCUCCGCUUCCUCCUCCGCACCUCGUUGCCUCACCUCAUCCGCGCGCGCCUUCGUCUUACUCCUCGGGUUGGCCGACGCCGGCGAUCGGUAUGAUUUUGCGCCUAUGGAUGCGACCCUACACAAGAGAUCUACUAGAUCUAGUAUUAUGUUACACGGCCGAGCCCUCAAUGCAGAUCUUGUAGAUCUAUUUAUACCCGAACCAUUUAUCUUCCACUUUUGCAGGUAUUUUGUUUGCACGGCGACGCCGCUUGGUGUUGAAAUCCCCUCUUUGUGCAUCCCCUGUUCAUUCUGAACCCGUGCUGCGAUAAGGUUUGGUCUUACCAAGAUUUCAUUGCCCUAACAUCCAAGUUUGCUCUAAGCUUUUGUAUGAUUAGAGGAUAUAUGAGUUACUGCUAUGCAUGCUAAAAUUCUAUCCAUAUCUGAUAUUCAUAUAUGAUGAGUCUAUGGCGUCGAUAGAGAAGAGAACUAUGUGGCAGCAUGUAUGUAAAAUGAUUAUGUUGCUUUGUUUGCCGGAAUGCAUGAUAUAGUGGGAAUAUGAUUACAGUUGUUUAAAUUUACAUGAAGGAUGCGAAAGAUUGUAUUGGCGAUGAUGACGGUUUCAAGUUGCAUUAGAUGGAUGGCAUGAUUCUACAAAUCAAUGCACCCAUAUGCUCCUUGGAAACCAUUUUGAGCCGCAUGACCCAAUAUCACACCAUAAGAUGCCGAUUCUAUCUCAUUAUACAAUCUUUCAACUGCAUCCUUUCAUUAUAAUCAGUUUAUAGUUGUCAACUGCCUUCACUUGUAUUUCAUUACAAUAACUUUGAAAUACUUCAGUUUCUUGAAUAGUCUUCAAUAUGUUUGGAUAUAGUGGAACAUAAAUAUGCUUAGCUAGUGCAAUUUUUACAUAUUUCUCACCAUCUUUAUUAGCUUCUUGACCGUAAUGCAUGUAUGAUAUUGUCAGUUUGUGAAAGUGGACAGACUGAAUUGUGUCAAACCACAUGAAUAGUACUGCAAUGAGAUAGAAUCGGUGGAAUAAUCAUUGAUAACAUAAAAGAUGACAAUUUCAUACAAAUCCAAGGUGGUAAUGUAACGACCCUGCCCACUAGCAAUAAUAACUCGUUGGGCCCAACCACCGGCCCAAAAUGCUUAAGCGUAGUUAUUAUUACUAGUGUCUAAGUCUCUUAUAAAUCCAAUGACAACCCCAUUCCCAUCCGAUGUGGGACUAUUAGGUGUCACAGACUCCCCCUGUUAAGGCCCUGACGUCCUCGUCAGUCCAAUCACACACACAGCCCAAGAUCCCAGGCGAUGUGAGACUCAUCUUGCUAGUCCGUCAUCCAGACUCUGGCUCCAUUCCCAUCCGAUAUGGGAUCCGAUAUGGGACUAUUGGGGCGUCACAAACUUUUCCCGUUAAGGCCCUGACGUCCUCGUCAGUCCAAUCACACACACAGCCCAAGAUCACCAGGCGAUGUGAGACUCGUCUCGCUAGCCCGUCAUCCAGACCCUGGCUCAGCCGAGACUCGCCACACAUGUCCAGCUGGUGAACCGGCUCUGAUACCAAAUGUAACGACCCAGCCCACUAGCAAUAAUAACUCGUUGGGCCCAACCACCGACCCAAAUGCUUAAGCCCAGUUAUUAUUACUAGUGUCUAAGUCUCUUAUAAAUCCAAUGACAACCCCAUUCCCAUCCGAUGUGGGACUAUUGGGUGUCACAGGUAAUUAUAUGUAACCAAUACAAUUAGCCAUACACGAUAAGUAGUACUCAUUGUUCUAAAUGGAUUGAAACCAUCACUACAAAGAGCAAGUCUCACGUUGCGGGAAUCAAAGGAGAAAUCUACAUAUCGUUCAUCAAAUGCCUUCCAUGCUUCAUCACUUGCAGGAUCUCUUAAUAGCGCAUCCUUCUUACGAUGUUCUUGUAUCAUUUGAUGUGCUAUCUCAUAUCAUUCGAUGUUCUCGUAGAGGCAACAAAUCCUUUGCAGCCUUGAUAUAAGAGGAAAAUAACGUAAAACUUUUACUGAAAUCUUCCUCUUUUGUCUUGAUAUGGCAGGUGUGUUAGAAGCAUUAUCUUCAUUGUUUGAAAUAUGAUCUUUUUCCAUACUAGUAUUUUCCAAUGAGAGGACCCACAAACACCACGAACUUUCUAAUUUACUUUAUCAUCUCGAAAUAAUAUGCAAUCAUUUGGACAACAAUGAAUCUUCUCAUAACUUAUAGACCUAAGGUCUUAAUAAUUUUAUUUUUUUGCUUCAUAUAAAGAACGGGGUAAUGAAGUACCUUCAGAAAAUGCAUCAGCCGGUGUCUCUAAUAACGUACUAAAUGACUUUCCUGACCAACCAUUUAGGCAUUUCAAGUGGAACAAAUGGAGUAUAAAAGAUAGUUUUUAAAAUGUCUUGCAUUCCAGAUAUAAUUCUUCAUUUGCAUCUUUUAGUAGUUUAUGAAAAUCACGAUUUUCAUUAGUGUCUUGACUAGAUUGUUCUAUGCGAGGUUCUACUGUAGAUUGUUCUGGGUCCGCCCUUCCGCCAAAUUUUUUAAUUGGUAUAUCUAUUUCAUGAGUUGGUUCACCGGCUAAGCCAAUGGUAUCAUGUAAAAGUCUAUAUAUGUCAUCUGAUCUUCUAAACUUUUGGGUAAUAGGGAUGCACUUUUGCACAUGUAAAACAUAUUGUACAUGCAAAGAUUGAGAAGUUGAAGAAGAGGUGGCAAUUUUAAUUAGGGAAAUAAAAGAUAAAGGCUCCCCUCCAUGGCAAACCCAUCUUAUAUAUUCCCUUAGUAAGCCAUCACAUAUUAAGUGUAUCUUCGCAUCCUCAAAUUUCUGUAAUGAACAAUUAACACAGCGUACAUAGGGGAACAUUAUUUUGCCAUUAUAGGAUACAUUACAAAAUGUAAAUUCUACAAAUUGUGAGACUCCAUUUUUAUAUGCAUCACUAUUUCUAGGUAAUUUGGUCAUCCAACUUUUAUCCAUUAUAGCAAAACAACUAAAAUAACAACAAACAAUUUAUUCAAUAUCAAUUUAUAGUAACGAAGCUACCGAUUAAUUUAGUGAAACAUCUAUGUCAAUAAUUUACUACAUUCAAUAUAGUGCAGUAUAAAAAACUUAUCAAAUUAAGAUAAUAGAAAAGUAUGGAUUGCUAAGAGACACUCCUUAAGAGGUGAUUUUCUAAGCUUUCUUUCAACGCGAACUAGUAGAUUCUUUAUCCUCACAGCAAUGCCCCAGCAAGAGUUUGACUAGGUUCGAGCGUGAAAACCUUCUUACCAAAUUCACCUAAU